UUUUACUUUUUUAUUUUAAAAACAUAAUAUAACUUGAUAAUAUUUUGUUUCCUUUUUUAAAAGAUAUCGAAUUUGAAAUAAUGAAAUCCUAUUGGUUGGUGAACCUAGAGGUUCACCCUAGGGGGUGAACCCAAGAAUAACUCAUAAGUUUAUGGCGAUUAAAACGGAUAUGAGAAGGCAUAUGAUCGGGUAGAGUGGGAUUUUAUCGAGGCUCUUCUCUAUAAAAUGGGAUUUGAUCCUCAUUGGGUUAAAUUAAUGCGAGGGUGUAUAUCUUCAGUUCAAUAUAGAGUUCUUCUCAAUGGGCAACCGAGAGGCCUUAUAAUACCUCAGCGGGGAUUACGUCAAGGAGAUCCAUUAUCUCCUUAUUUAUUUAUUAUGUGUAUUGAGGCUUUAAUCACGAAUAUAAAAAAAGCGGAGCGGGUGAAACAAUUAACCGGUACGAAGGUAGCAAGAGCGUGUCCAGCAGUUUCUCAUUUGCUAUUUGCAGAUGAUAGUUUGUUCUUCUGUAAGGCAAACAAAGAAGAGUGUCAAACUAUCCUCAUGAUACUAAAGGAUUAUGAAACUGUAUCAGGGCAACAAAUCAAUUUUCAGAAAUCCUCAAUUCAAUUUGGACAUAAAAUUGAGGAAUCCAGUAAGCAAGAGUUGAGAGAUAUUUUGGGGAUUCAGAACCUAGGAGGUAUGGGUUCUUAUUUAGGCUUGCCAGAAAUUUUAGGGGGAUCUAAGGUUCAAGUGUUUGGUUUUGUACAAGAUCGUCUGAAUAAUAGGGUGAAUGGCUGGACUCUUCGGUUUUUUACAAAAGGGGGAAAAGAGGUGAUCAUUAAGUCGGUUAUCACAGCUCUGCCAAAUCAUGUGAUGUCGGUGUAUCGAUUGCCGAAAGCUAUAGUGAAGAAAUUAACGAGUGCAGUAGCUCAGUUUUGGUGGAGCCCAGGAAGAAGUACAAGGGGUAUGCAUUGGAAAUCAUGAGAUAAAUUAUGUGUUCAUAAGGAUAAUGGUGGGUUAGACUUCAAGGAUUUGACUGAUUUUAAUACAGCAAUGUUGGGAAAGCAGCUGUGGAGGCUGAUUGAGAAAUUCUCUUUUUCGCGAAUCUUCAAAGGACGAUACUACAGGAAUGCGUCACCCCUGGAACCGAUUCGUUCAUAUUCCCCGUCGUAUGGCUGGAGGAGUAUUAUCUCUGCUAGAUCUUUGGUUUGUAAAAGACUAAUUAAAAGGGUUGGAACAUGGUCAUCUAUCUCAUCCACUCGCCCGAGACCAGCAAACAAAAACUUUCAUAACAGUUACCCGAAUCUCACACUGGAUUCCCUCAUUCAUCAGGAAUCCCAAACAUGGAAUUUACAGGCAAUUAGGACUUUGGUGGACCCCCGUGAUGCAAAAAUGAUUGAGAGUCUUCCUCUGAGUAGAAAUCAAUUGAAUGAUAGGGAUGAAUGGCAUUUCACUAAUAAUGGAAGAUACACGGUAUAAUCAGGGUAUCAAGUAGAAAGGAUAUAUUCUGAUAAGGAAAAACAACCAUAAUUUUAUGGACCCAAUGUGGACAUUCUUAAAACAUUAUGCUGGAAAGUGAAGUGUCCUCCAAAGUUAAAGCAUUUUUUAUGGCAGCUGUUGACAGGUUGUAUAGCAGUGACCAAAAAUUUAAAAUCAAGAGGAAUACAAGGAGAUACAAGCUGUGCAAGGUGUGGAGACCCGGAGGAAUCAACAAUUCAUGUGUGUUUUGAAUGUCUUCCGGCACGGCAAGUGUGGGCACUAUCUAAAAUCCCAUCGAACCCAAAUAUUUUUCCUUUGGGCUCGAUAUUUGCUAAUAUGGAUCAUCUAUUUUGGAGAGUCAAUCUAAAAAUGGAGGAUCAUCAGUUUGCAUGGAUUCUAUGGUACAUUUGGAAGGGUCAGAAUAACAAAGUGUUCAGUAAUAUUGAUAUUGACUCGAGGGAAACGCUAAACUUAGCAGAAUUGAAAUCAACACUUUGGGCGGAGGCACAAAUUGUCAAUAACCCCAGGGUGUCCCCUGAAGCGCAGAUCAGAGUUCCCUCACAGACUACAAGAAGAUGGUGUUUCAUUGACAGUUCUUAGAAAGAUAAGGAUGCUUCCUCAGGACAAGGCUGGUUCAGCACGCUUCCGGGGUUUGAGGGUUUGUUAGGGGCAAGGAAUGUAAGGGCAAGUCUCUCACCUCUUCAUGCGGAGUUGGAGGCUCUAAUUUGGGCAAUGGAAUGCAUGAAGAACUUAAGACAGUACCGGGUCACGUUUGCAACGGAUUGUUCUCAAUUGGUGAAGAUGGUUUCGGAACCAGAAGAAUGUCCAGCAUUUGAAAGCUACCUGGAUGACAUUAAGCUUUUGAGAAGAAGAUUUACCAACUCGGAGAUUGUUCAUGUUCCUAGGACGGAAAACAUAAAGGCGGAUCGCUUGGCACGCAGUGCUCGGACACAACCGUCUUUCGUCGUACACAUGGAUGCGGAGUUACCAUUAUGGUUUACAGAGUCUACAUGAGUCUGUAAAUUUUUCUUGCUGUCAAAAAAAAAAAAAAACUAAAAUAGAAAUAUUAAAAUGAUAAUUAUAUAUAAUAAAUUUGAUUCACUGAUGAUACAUAUGUAACUAACUGAUGUAAACAAUUGAUAUUUAAACAAUAUCUAUCUAUAUAUGUAUAUAUCUAUUAUAAUAUAAUAAACUUCUCUCUUUCUUCAUCCCUCAACAUCAUUAUCCUAGCAUGGGGCAAAAAAACUGCCACAUGGCAUUUGAAAUUUGUUUACUGUCAACUGAUUUCGAAAAUUUUCAUGGGUUGGGUUUUGUUUUGCCAUUUACUAUAAUAGAUUAUAAAAUAUCGGGUGUUUUUCGUAUAUUUUAAUUAAGAGGGUUGACCCACCUUAUUUUCAGCCCUACUCAAAAAAAAUAUUACUUACGAUUGAGUUCUUCCUUUCUUUGAUGUCUGGACCGUAACUUCUGUCUCGACGGUGCUCCAGACGAAUCGCAAAACUUCUUCAAAUUAUAAUAAAGUAUAAACCCUACAAACAGAGCUUCCACAGAUGGCGAUUAACCAGCUCAAUUUUCCAUUUUGAAGGCAUAGCAUUGUAAGGAGACAGUUGUUAAAUGUCUUCUUCGUUUUUGGGAGGCAAGGACGUGAAGAAAACAGGUGAGCUUCUGGGCGUGAACCUGGUUUCUCUCAAUGAGAAGUAGACGAAGUUGAUCCAAGGGUCUAUAGGAAUUCAGAAACUCAGCACUUCCAAAUAUCUGCUGAAGGAAGGGUGAAUCUAUGGGAUAAGCUUAUUCGAUCCCAACAGAAAAAUUCAGGUUUCCAAAAUAUGAAAAGCUUAUGAUUUUGGCAAAUACAAAUGUGAAUUUUCCGUGUAUGUUUAGCCACUCAUGCUUUUCCCAUUCUCAAACAAUGUUUGGCCGAAACUCCUCGCAACCUUAUUAACCGUUAGUUACCAAUGUUUUCUGCAGAAGUUUUUUGUGAUAUCAAGACCACUUACAACAAUGAGACUCAUGCUAUUCAAAGUGUUAUGGUUACAGUCCCUA